AGCCAGGGGGGGUUCGGGGGGUUCGAACGAACCGCCCACUUUGCCAAUGAAGUCCCACCUACAACUCCCGCGAGAUAUAGAACUGCGAGGUGAAGACGACGUUCACUCUGUCCUGGCUUGGAAGGCAACACGGUGGAUUCAAACGGUUUCUGUGCUGGAUACCAACCUUGAUGGGUAGGUGCAAGCAGAAGGACAGAGAGAGGAAAAGAGCAGCUGAAGGUUGUGCUUCAAUGUUCAACUUUGUUUCAAAGAAACCGAGAGUUCCAGGUAUGGCAGAGUGCCUGGGUCACAGAGGCCGAACACCCCUGCAGGUUCCAUUAAAGAGUGUGACCGAGACCUGUACCCCAACCUGCAUGUCCUACUUCAACUGGCCUGCACACUCCCUGUCACCUCCUGCGAGUGUGAGCGCAGUGCCAGUGCCCUUCGUCGACUGAACAGCUACAUGCGGGCAUCAAUGGGGAAGGAGCGUCUCUCAUCACUGGCACUACUUCACAUUCACUACAGCAAACACAUUGACCUUGACAGAGUUGUUGAUGUGUUUGCAAACAAACACUCGAGGAGGAUGGAGCUGGACUCACUUGUCUAUCCAGAGAUAUAAGAUGUUGGACAAAACUGUCUUAUGCAUUGUAAAAAAAAAAGGUUUUGCAAAACUACAUUUGUCUUGAGAAAUUUUAAUCUUACUCUAUAGUGUCAUUUUUUUAUGUGUAGAUGUGGAUUGUAUUGUAUUUUUCAAUUCAUUAAUUUCAUUCAUAAAAAACAAUGUCUAACAAAGCAAAGUAAAAAGAUGAGUUAUUUUUGCAA